CCUGCCCCUCGAAGCAUUGCAGGUUUGACUGCUAUAUCACAUGUGUGUCAGUAGGUAACAUGGAGUGAUGCAACAAUGUCUAGACUCAGUGUUAUGACCUAUGGACAUCUGAUUAGUAACUUAAUACU